AAUAUAAUUGCUGGGUCAUGUGCUGUCCAUUUUUAAUUUUAAAAGAAACUGCUAAACUGUUUUCCAGAGUGACUGCACCAUUCUACAUUUCCACCAACAGU
rnacentral:pre_miRNA from 1 species